rnacentral:rRNA from 1 species
UACGGGGGGGGGGCAAGCGUUGUUCGGAAUUAUUGGGCGUAAAGGGAGCGUAGGCGGUUUUGUAAGUCGUGUGUGAAAUCUUCGGGCUCAACCCGAAGUCUGCACACGAAACUGCAGGGCUUGAGUAUGGGAGAGGUGAGUGGAAUUCCUGGUGUAGCGGUGAAAUGCGUAGAUAUCAGGAGGAACACCUGUGGCGAAAGCGGCUCACUGGACCAUUACUGACGCUGAGGCUCGAAAGCUAGGGGAGCAAACAGG